GUCGAACGAUGACGGAGGAGCUUGCUCCUCCUGAUUAGUGGCGAACGGGUGAGUAAUACGUGAGCAAUGUGCCCUUGACUCUGGGAUAAGCGCUGGAAACGGCGUCUAAUACCGGAUACGACGAUCGGAGGCAUCUCCUGGUCGUGGAAAGAACUUCGGUCAAGGAUCAGCUCACGGCCUAUCAGUUAGUUGGUGAGGUAAUGGCUCACCAAGACGACGACGGGUAGCCGGCCUGAGAGGGUGACCGGCCACACUGGGACUGAGACACGGCCCAGACUCCUACGGGAGGCAGCAGUGGGGAAUAUUGCACAAUGGGCGCAAGCCUGAUGCAGCAACGCCGCGUGAGGGACGAAGGCCUUCGGGUUGUAAACCUCUUUUAGCAGGGAAGAAGCGAAAGUGACGGUACCUGCAGAAAAAGCACCGGCUAACUACGUGCCAGCAGCCGCGGUAAUACGUAGGGUGCAAGCGUUGUCCGGAAUUAUUGGGCGUAAAGAGCUCGUAGGCGGUUUGUCACGUCUGCUGUGAAAACCCGAGGCUCAACCUCGGGCUUGCAGUGGGUACGGGCAGACUAGAGUGCGGUAGGGGAGAUUGGAAUUCCUGGUGUAGCG
rnacentral:rRNA from 1 species